UACGUAGGGGGCAAGCGUUGUCCGGAAUCAUUGGGCGUAAAGAGCGUGUAGGCGGCCCGAUAAGUCCGCUGUGAAAGUCCAGGGCUCAACCCUGGGAUGCCGGUGGAUACUGUCGGGCUCGAGUCCGGAAGAGGAGUGUGGAAUUCCUGGUGUAGCGGUGAAAUGCGCAGAUAUCAGGAGGAACACCAAUGGCGAAGGCAGCACUCUGGGACGUGACUGACGCUGAGACGCGAAAGCGUGGGGAGCGAACGGG
rnacentral:rRNA from 1 species